GACGUAGGGCGCGAGCGUUGUCCGGAUUUAUUGGGCGUAAAGAGCUCGUAGGCGGCUUGUCGCGUCGUCCGUGAAAACUUGGGGCUCAACCCCAAGCUUGCGGUCGAUACGGGCAUCACUGGAGUUCGGCAGGGGAGACUGGAAUUCCUGGUGUAGCGGUGAAAUGCGCAGAUAUCAGGAGGAACACCAGUAGCGAAGGCAGCUCGCUGGGACGUUACUGACACUGAGGCGCGAAAGCGUGGGGAGCGAACAGG
rnacentral:rRNA from 1 species